CCUUCGCUGGCAAAAGGAGUCCUCUCGCCCCCCAGCCCCAAUUUCCCCCAGGGGAACCUCUCUUCCUUCGGUCUCCCGGGGCUGGCCUCCUGGGAGCGGACGUAACUCCCCAGACCUCCGCUCCCUUCCCCUCUUGCCCGGUCGCUCCCAAACCCGGAAGGGGAACUGGGGAACCCUCGCCCCCCACCGUGCGUGCGCUUCCCCGCACCAUCAGCGAAGUUUUUGCCCGACCCCAGACCCCAGCCCAGCCCCGACUGCCUCUUGCUCCCUCGGAAGUUGGGGGGCUAAAUUCCGGGCUUCCUCUAGGCCCCGCCCCGCCCCCUUUCCCCACCGCCACCCUCCCGCCUGCCCCCGGGGAGCACCCCUCGUGUCCUCCACUGUCGCACCCCUGCCGGCCCUCGCCUUGCACAACUCCAAAAUCGGGGAGAAGCAGGCAAGGCCGCGCGCCACCCUUCCUUUCGUCUCCACCCUACCCACGAUUUGGGUGCUGCCCGUGGUUUCUGGCCCCACUCGCCGAAACUGGAGCCCUCGGCGCCCUAUUCCCUUUACAGAUCCUCACCCCAAGCCCAGCUCCCAGGCGCCCGCCCCCCGCCCAGCUUUCUUUUAGGCAAAAUGGAGGUCGUAGGGGCUGGAGGGCCAGGCCCACUGCGCUUCGCAGCGCCGCACCAGCCCGCGCCUUCCAGCUGCCAGAUCCAGGGACCCUCCCGUCACUCUCCUGAGCCCCGCCAGACCUGCGGAGGCGGUUGCACCCUCAUUUCUCUAUGGAGCGCCGGCUGCUAUAUCCCUAGAGUCUGGGGGCUGCUGAGGGCCCUGGGGGGUGAUGGGGACCGAGGGCUGAGAACGUCGCCCCCGCCCCCAGUUUCUUCCUCCAGCCGUGCUUCCUUCUGCCCUGGGCCUCCGGCGGUGCCGCCAGGCCUGGGCUGCUAGUAGGUGGAAGAGGCUUUGUGCGGGCCUGGGGGUUGGGUAGAGUAAGGAGUUCUGCCCGCACCCCCCAUCCCCCGAUUUUGAGGGUCACCCCUUGGCACUGGCGUAGAAAGCUGAACUUACAAGGAGGGGAAAUGUCAGUGGGGAAGAGGAACGCCCUGCGCCUGGGGGAAGUGGGAGCUGGGUGGGGGACGCCUGGGCCGGCCAAGUGCAGUGUGUACGGCCGGAUCGCACAGGUGUCCCGCGGGCGGGGAAGGACUC
rnacentral:lncRNA from 10 species